rnacentral:rRNA from 1 species
CAGUAGCCGCGGUAAUACGUAGGUGGCAAGCGUUGUCCGGAAUUAUUGGGCGUAAAGGGCUCGCAGGCGGUUUCUUAAGUCUGAUGUGAAAGCCCCCGGCUCAACCGGGGAGGGUCAUUGGAAACUGGGAAACUUGAGUGCAGAAGAGGAGAGUGGAAUUCCACGUGUAGCGGUGAAAUGCGUGGAGAUGUGGAGGAACACCAGUGGCGAAGGCGACUCUCUGGUCUGUAACUGACGCUGAGGAGCGAAAGCGUGGGGAGCGAACAGGAUUAGAUACCCCUGUAGUCCCUGUCUCUUAUAC